rnacentral:rRNA from 1 species
GGAAGUCGAACGGUACAGGACUAGCUUGCUAGUUGCUGACGAGUGGCGGACGGGAGAGUAACGCGUAGGAAUCUGUCCACCUGAGGGGGAUACCAGUUGGAAACGACUUUUAAUACCGCAUAGUACCUGUGGAUUAAAGGUGGCUUUUGGGAUGUCGCAGAUGGAUGAGCCUGCAUUUGACUAGCUAGUUGGUGGGCUAAGGGGGUACCAAGGCUACGAUCCAUAGCUGCUUUGAGAGGAUGAUCAGCCACAUUCUGACUGAGACACGGCCCAAGCUCAUACGGGAGGCAGCAGUGAGGAAUAUUAGACAAUGGGGGCCACCCUGAUCCAGCAAUGCCAUGUGUGUGAAGAAGGCCUUAGGGUUGUAAAGCACUUUAGUUGGGGAAGAAAGCUUUGAGGUUAAUAGCCUUGAGGAAAAUGACGUUACCCAAAGAAUAAGCACCGGCUAACUCCGUGCCAGCAGCCGCGGUAAUACGGGGGGUGCAAGCGUUAAUCGGAAUUACUGGGCGUAAAGGGUCUAUAGGUGGUUUGUUAAGUCAGAUGUGAAAACCUAGGGCUCAUCCUUGGAACUGCAUUUGAUACUGGUAAACUAGAGUACGGUAGAGGAAUGGGGAAUUUCUGGUGUAGCGGUGAAAUGCGUAGAGAUCAGAAGGAACACCAAUGGCGAAGGCAACAUUCGGGACCGAUACUGACACUGAGGGACGAAAGCGUGGGGAUCAAACAGGAUUAGAUACCCUGGUAGUCCACACUGUAAACGAUGAGUACUAGUUGUUGGAGUCGGUGUAAAGGCUCUAGUGGCGCAGCUAACGCGAUAAGUACUCCGCCUGGGGACUACGGCCGCAAGGCUAAAACUCAAAGGAAUUGACAGGGACCCGCACAAGCUGGGGAGCAUCUGGUUUAAUUUGAUGCAACGUGAAGAACCUUACCUGGUCUUGACAUCCUGCGAUCUUUCUAGAGAUAGAUUGGUGCCUUCAGGAACGCAGUGACAGGUGCUGCACGGCUGUCGUCAGCUCGUGUUGUGAAAUGAUGGGUUAAGUCCCGCAACGAGCGCAACCCCUAUUGAUAGUUACCAUCAUUAAGUUGGGUACUCUAUUGAGACUGCCGCUGACAAGGCGGAGGAAGGUGGGUACGACGUCAAGUCAUCAUGGCCCUUACGACCAGGGCUACACACGUGCUACAAUGGGUAU